rfam:Schistosoma mansoni, Puerto Rico, WGS project CABG01000000 data, contig: 0147
AUCUAGCUGACGAGUCCCAAAUAGGACGAAACGCUCGGCAAACUGGAU